rnacentral:rRNA from 1 species
CGAGUGGCGGACGGGUGAGUAACGCGUAGGAACCUACCCAGUAGUGGGGGACAACCCGAGGAAACUCGGGCUAAUACCGCAUACCCUCUACGGAGGAAAGCAGGGGAUCUUCGGACCUUGCGCUAUUGGAUGGGCCUGCGUUGGAUUAGCUUGUUGGUAGGGUAAAGGCCUACCAAGGCGACGAUCCAUAGCUGGUCUGAGAGGACGAUCAGCCACACUGGGACUGAGACACGGCCCAGACUCCUACGGGAGGCAGCAGUGGGGAAUAUUGGACAAUGGGGGCAACCCUGAUCCAGCAAUGCCGCGUGUGUGAAGAAGGCCUGCGGGUUGUAAAGCACUUUCAGUAGAGAAGAAAAGCCUAGGGUUAAUACCCCUGAGUCUUGACGUAACCUACAGAAGAAGCACCGGCUAACUCCGUGCCAGCAGCCGCGGUAAUACGGAGGGUGCGAGCGUUAAUCGGAAUUACUGGGCGUAAAGCGCGCGUAGGCGGCUUUGUAAGUCGGAUGUGAAAGCCCAGGGCUUAACCUUGGAACUGCAUUCGAUACUGCAGAGCUAGAGUAUGGUAGAGGGAAGUGGAAUUUCCGGUGUAGCGGUGAAAUGCGUAGAUAUCGGAAG